UGGGGAAUAUUGCACAAUGGGGGAAACCCUGAUGCAGCGACGCCGCGUGAGCGAAGAAGUAUUUCGGUAUGUAAAGCUCUAUCAGCAGGGAAGAAGAAAUGACGGUACCUGACUAAGAAGCACCGGCUAAAUACGUGCCAGCAGCCGCGGUAAUACGUAUGGUGCAAGCGUUAUCCGGAUUUACUGGGUGUAAAGGGAGCGCAGGCGGUACGGCAAGUCUGAUGUGAAAGCCCGGGGCUCAACCCCGGUACUGCAUUGGAAACUGUCGGACUAGAGUGUCGGAGGGGUAAGUGGAAUUCCUAGUGUAGCGGUGAAAUGCGUAGAUAUUAGGAGGAACACCAGUGGCGAAGGCGGCUUACUGGACGAUUACUGACGCUGAGGCUCGAAAGCGUGGGGAGCAAACAGG
rnacentral:rRNA from 1 species